rnacentral:rRNA from 1 species
CAGCCGCCGCGGGAAAACGUAGGGUGCAAGCGUUAAUCGGAAUUACUGGGCGUAAAGCGUGCGCAGGCGGUUUGUUAAGACAGAUGUGAAAUCCCCGGGCUCAACCUGGGAACUGCAUUUGUGACUGGCAAGCUAGAGUCUGGCAGAGGGGGGUGGAAUUCCGCGUGUAGCAGUGAAAUGCGUAGAUAUGCGGAGGAACACCGAUGGCGAAGGCAGCCCCCUGGGCCAACACUGACGCUCAUGCACGAAAGCGUGGGGAGCAAACAGGAUUAGAUACCCCUGUAGUCCCUGUCUCUUAUAC